GUGGCUAUAGCUCAGCUGGAUAGAGCGUCAGCUUGCGGAGCUGAAGGUCGCAGGUUCAACUCCUGCUAGUCACG
rnacentral:tRNA from 3 species